AUUUAUGUAGUUUAUAAAAAACAUUUUAUUUUCAAUAAAAAAAUAAGCUAAGGCUUUGUAAAUA
rnacentral:tRNA from 1 species